rnacentral:lncRNA from 1 species
GGAGGCCGAUGCAGGGGAGAAGAAGGAUCCCCCGGCGAUGCGGUCGAGGUCGGCCUUGGAGAGGUGGAAUCCAGCAGCGAGGGAGGCGGCGGCGGGAGGCGGGGGCGCGUCGGCGUCGUCCGGGGGGAGGAGCGGCACGGCGGCGGUGUGGCGGGAGGGGUGCUUGUCGAGGCGGACGGUGGCGAAGCAGGGGUGGGCGGAGGGGUGGACGCCAGAUCCGCCAGCGGGGCGGGCGGCGACGGGGCCUUUGAGGGCGAGAUUCCCGACGAGGACACGGACGAAGGGGCAGGGAUCCAUGGCGUUACGACUGGGCCUCAGCGCUCGCAGCUGCUCUUUAUAGCCCGACUCCUG